CCUACGGGAGGCAGCAGUGAGGAAUAUUGGUCAAUGGGCGCGAGCCUGAACCAGCCAAGUAGCGUGAAGGAUGACUGCCCUACGGGUUGUAAACUUCUUUUAUCAAGGAAUAAAGUGAGGCACGUGUGCCUUUUUGUAUGUACUUUAUGAAUAAAGAUCGGCUAACUCCGUGCCAGCAGCCGCGGUAAUACGGAGGAUUCGAGCGUUAUCCGGAUUUAUAUGGUUGAUAGGGAGCGUAGAUGGGUUGUUAAGUCAGUUGUGAAAGUUUGCGGCUCAACCGUAAAAUUGCAAUUUAUACUGGCAGUCGUGAGUACAGUUGAGGUAGGCGGAAUUCGUGGUGUAGCGGUGAAAUGCUUAGAUAUCACGAAGAACUCCGAUUGCGAAGGCAGCUUACUAAACUGCCACUGACAUUGAUGCUCGAAAGUGUGGGUAUCAAACAGGAUUAGAUACCCUAGUAGUC
rnacentral:rRNA from 1 species